rnacentral:rRNA from 1 species
UACGUAGGGUGCGAGCGUUGUCCGGAAUUACUGGGCGUAAAGAGCUCGUAGGUGGUUUGUCGCGUUGUCCGUGAAAACUCACAACUCAAUUGUGGGCGUGCGGGCGAUACGGGCAGACUGGAGUACUGCAGGGGAGACUGGAAUUCCUGGUGUAGCGGUGGAAUGCGCAGAUAUCAGGAGGAACACCAGUGGCGAAGGCGGGUCUCUGGGCAGUAACUGACGCUGAGGAGCGAAAGCAUGGGGAGCGAACAGG